rnacentral:tRNA from 1 species
GCGGGCGUGGCGGAAUUGGCAGACGCGCAAGAUUUAGGAUCUAGUGUUUAUUCGUGCAGGUUCAAGUCCUGUCGCUCGCACCA